rnacentral:lncRNA from 1 species
CUUUUUCUUGGCUUAACAGUGCAGUGUGGGUAAUAUCUGGGGUUAUUUUACACUCUGCUUUUAAAGCACUUGUUUUUAAGGUUUUUCUUCUUAUCAUUUAUUUAUUUUGAGGAGAGGGUCUACUUCACAGUAAUGUGCCCAGCCAGUAACUACCUGGCCAGGAUGGGCAAGAGGUGCCUGUGGACACCAGCCACCAGGCAUACCUUUGGAGAGCACCGAGUGGUCCCCAGGCCUAUUUAGCCUCUGUUCCACAGUGGCUCCUCACCUGCAGAGUUGUGCCUGGGCACACAGAGCCUAAACUGUGGCUAAUGGAAGCAGAAGCCCCCGAAGAUCUUUGUGUAACCCUAUGCUGCCCACGAGCUGAGUUAGUGGCUGACUGAGUUUAGUCCCAGGCCCCAUCCUUUAUUUAAAAAAAAAAAAAAAAAAAAAAAAAAAAAGGUGACAUUUGCAGAGCCCAGCUGCCCGCUCACCUCCACCCCUCUGGCAGGCUGACAAAAAGCGUCCUCGACCACAGCCUGGUUCCCUAGGUUGGAGGGUAGCUGGGGUCUUGAUUUAUGGGAACUGGGAAAUCCAACACAGAAAGUUCCACUGUUCGAGAAGAGGAAAAUUCCCAAGUACAGACAUCUUUGUUUCCUUAGUCCACAUGGGCUCUAUGUGUCCGGGGGCUUGGCUGCAGCAGCCGCCCGCCCGGAGCAGACUCCAGCAAAUAUGAAAACGGAGCCCAGCCCAGCUGCUUUUGUUCUUACACUAGGCAGCAGUAGAUACCGUAGGGUUUGGGGCUGUGGAGACAGGCAUAUAUAGCUGAGAUAAUUAAAACAUUUUCACGAUUAUGACAGCCACAUUCUGCUGUCGCAAGCUGGGGGGAUUCAUUCCACCCAAAUAUUUAGCAAGCAUCAGAAUAAAACACUAGUGGCAAAAUAAAAGUAAUGGGGGGGGGAAACCACAGCAUGAUGUAUUUCAAAGGCAAAAGCUUGGCGAAGAGAGAAUUAGGCAAGAAAAGGAAGGAGGUUAGCAGCUUGGAGGAAUUUGCAUUUUAAUCACUGCCCACUCUUCACCUGUUGUUGUUGUUUUUUUGUUUGUUUUUUGUUUUUUAAUAAUUAAUGUAGGUGAAUAAAUCUCCAAUUCUAAGUUCUGGGUGGACGUGUGGUGAAAUUUCCUAAGUGUUAAAAUCACCUUCUUUUCAGACAAGAUAAGGAAAGGCAGCAGAAAAGGAAUUCAUAUAAACAUCUACAUGGUGAAAUUAGUACCUCCUACCCUGUAUAAAUCUACUCACUGCUUUUAGGAUAUGUCCGUCACACGUUCCUUCUUAGUCCGAGAAGGUUGUAAAUGUCCACUUGCCCCCUUAAGUUUUGAAUUCCACUAGCAUCAGACACCCCCUCCCCACCCCCCCAAAUGUAACACGUCAUACUGUUUUCUUUUUUAAAAUGGGCAAAAUCUCAACACUUUCCAUGGCACCCAAUGUUUUUUGACAGUAUUUAAAAAAAAAUAGAAAGAAAGUACCACGCAAGGCACUUUCCACAUCAUUGCCUCUAUAUAAAUUCCACUAUAGACAGAAAUUAUACAUUCUUGAGGCACAGAUGGGCUGGUCUGUCAUUACCACUGCCUGGUACUUGUUGGAACACACGGCAUAUUUUAAUUGUGGAGUCAACAAUUUCGAAGAACUGAGGUCAAAACAAACACGAUGCAUUUGCGUCGAGGAGCAAACUUACCCCACGAUCUUCUGGAAGGGCUGGCUGAGGACCGUCACUUUGUUAAAUUUUGUUUAAGUUUUAGUCUCCGAAUACACAUGUAGAUGUCAUCCCUUGGUGCGUGUAGGCAUUUGCAUACGAUGACAUGCACUCGAGGGUCAGACAGGAGUCUAUUCUCUCCUUCCACCACGUGGCUCCCGAGAAUUGAAUUCAGGUUGCUAGGCUUGACACGGCAAGCUCUGUCACCUGCAGGGCCAUCUCACCCAUCCUGGUCUCCAUCUUUCAAGACUCCAAAUGUCCUUCCGAGUUGUAAUUAAUUACCAAUUUCUAACCUUGUUUUUCCUGUGUGAGCACCCUAACACUACCCUUAACUACCAACCCAGGGGACAUGGAAUUAUUAAUAUCUUAUUCACUAGAAGGAGGUUGGGCCUCUCGCUCUUCUGGGUCUACAUGCACAUAAUUAUUUUGAGACCUGCCUUUGUGGGGAAAAAAAUCAAAUAAUAAAUAUUUCAAAUGGUUGAAAAGUACAUUUAAGUCCACACUUGAAAAAAAAAUGUAAUGGGUCAACAACACAGAGCAGGUAUAAGUUUUAUUUAUAUAUACACACACACACAUAAUACAUAUAUACACACAUACAUAUAUACAUA